rnacentral:rRNA from 1 species
GACGAACGCUGGCGGCGUGCUUAACACAUGCAAGUCGAACGGAAAGGCCCUGCUUUUGUGGGGUGCUCGAGUGGCGAACGGGUGAGUAACACGUGAGUAACCUGCCCUUGACUUUGGGAUGACUUCAGGAAACUGGGGCUAAUACCGGAUAGGAGCUCCUGCUGCAUGGUGGGGGUUGGAAGGUUUCGGCGGUUGGGGAUGGACUCGCGGCUUAUCAGCUUGUUGGUGGGGUAGUGGCUUACCAAGGCUUUGACGGGUAGCCGGCCUGAGAGGGUGACCGGCCACAUUGGGACUGAGAUACGGCCCAGACUCCUACGGGAGGCAGCAGUGGGGAAUAUUGCACAAUGGGCGGAAGCCUGAUGCAGCAACGCCGCGUGCGGGAUGACGGCCUUCGGGUUGUAAACCGCUUUCGCCUGUGACGAAGCGUGAGUGACGGUAAUGGGUAAAGAAGCACCGGCUAACUACGUG